rnacentral:rRNA from 1 species
GCAAGUCGAACGGAAACGAUAGUAGCUUGCUCUGGCUGACGAGUGGCGGACGGGUGCGUAACGCGUGGGAAUCUACCUUAUAGUGGGGGAUAGCCCGGAGAAAUCCGGAUUAAUACCGCAUAAGCCCUACGGGGGAAAAGGGGCCUCUCCUUGGAAGCUCUUGCUAUUAGAUGAGCCCGCGUAAGAUUAGCUUGUUGGUAGGGUAAUGGCCUACCAAGGCAACGAUCUUUAGCUGGUCUGAGAGGAUGAUC